rnacentral:rRNA from 1 species
AUAACAGGUCUGUGAUGCCCUUAGAUGUCCUGGGCCGCACGCGCGUUACACCUGAUGCACUCAACGAGCAUAUAACCUUGGCCGAGAGGCCUGGGUAAUCUUGUUAACAUGCAUCGUGAUAGGGAUAGAUUAUUGCAAUUAUUAAUCUUGAACGAGGAAUUCCUAGUAAUCGUGGAUCAUCAAUCCACAAUGAUUACGUCCCUGCCCUUUGUACACACCGCCCGUCGCACCUACCGAUUGGAUGGUCCGGUGAGGAGUCGGGAUUGCGGCUUGGUUCCUUUAUUGGGAUCAGGCUGCGAGAACCUCUCCAAACCUUAUCAUCUAGAGGAAGGUGAAGUCGCAACAAGGUUUCCGUAGGUGAACCUGCAGAAGGAUCA